rnacentral:rRNA from 1 species
GGAAUAUUGGUCAAUGGGCGGAAGCCUGAACCAGCCAAGUAGCGUGCAGGAUGACGGCCCUAUGGGUUGUAAACUGCUUUUAUGCGGGAAUAAAGAGGCUCACGUGUGGGCUGUUGCAUGUACCGCAUGAAUAAGGACCGGCUAAUUCCGUGCCAGCAGCCGCGGUAAUACGGAAGGUCCGGGCGUUAUCCGGAUUUAUUGGGUUUAAAGGGAGCGUAGGCCGGUUUUUAAGCGUGUUGUGAAAUGUGUGGGCUCAACCUAUGCACUGCAGCGCGAACUGGAGACCUUGAGUGCGCGGGAAGCCGGCGGAAUUCGUUGUGUAGCGGUGAAAUGCUUAGAUAUGACGAAGACCUCCGAUUGCGAAGGCAGCUGGCUGUAGCGUUACUGACGCUGAAGCUCGAAAGCGUGGGUAUCGAACA